AAACCAUGGUGUCGACAUCUUUAGACCAAUGUCUUAAACCAUUCCCAAGCUUCGUGAACACUUUCUCCUUCUAAUUUCUUGAACAUUGAAAUCUCCCUCCUGAGUUG
rfam:Gossypium hirsutum cultivar TM-1 chromosome 1, whole genome shotgun sequence